AAGAGCUUGUUUGAUCUGAAUCUGUUCAAGGCACGUCAGAAUUAUUACCAUGAUCCAUUGGCAAGCAGUAACUAUCCAAGUCCCACGAGGACAAAAGAUCCAAGUCAACCCCAUUAACCUAAAACGAAAGGAUACAAAACAAACCCAUUAAUUAAGCCAACGGCAUCUGAGAUUUUCGAUUUAGCAAUAAUUCAGUCCCAAAAUUUACACGAAACGAGUGCCCAGGCCAACAGUAAUAAUAACAUAAAAGACUAGAAGAAAAAAGAAUUAGCUAUGAAUGAGAGAGAAAGAAUUACAGGAGGAAUACAUAGUAGAAGAAGAAAACGAACCCAGUGUGGACGGAAUUUCAAUCGGAGUGAGAGGCAUCGUCGUCGCUGGAAUCAGAGAGAGGGUGAUGGGGAGGAUCAAAGCAUAGGUAGAGCCAUAAAGAGUCUGCAAGGCGGCAAAGAUGACGGAGCGGAAGGCAGAGGAGAUGCAAGACUUGGUCGCUGCUUAAGCGCUCUGGGUUACAGGCUAUGUAUUGGCAUACGUUUGCUGACACGUUGGCUACUGUCACCACCACCGAGCUGUUUAACACCAUCGCCUUUUUUCUCUUCCUCUCUUUUUUUUUUUUGUCUUUCCCGUCUCGGCUUUGAGCCAACCUCCCUGCCUUAUUUUGUUCCCUCUGGUCUUUAUAUGACUUGCUUGUUACUACUUUGUUCAUAACAGAGUGAAACUACGUCGUAUUAUGAUUAUCCAUUCUGUUAUAAUU
rnacentral:lncRNA from 1 species